UACUCGAGUGGCGAACGGGUGAGUAACACGUGGGUGAUCUGCCCUGCACUUCGGGAUAAGCUUGGGAAACUUGGUCUAAUACCGGAUAGGAGCCAUCUUUAGUGUGGUGGUUGGAAAGUUUUUUCGGUGUAGGAUGAGCUCGCGGCCUAUCAGCUUGUUGGUGGGGUAAUUGGCCUACCAAGGCGGCGACGGGUAGCCGGCCUGAGAGGGUGUACGGCCACAUUGGGACUGAGAUACGGCCCAG
rnacentral:rRNA from 1 species